AGACUUACCUGCUGCCGGGGUCUCGCUGGUCACCAAGGACGAGCCUCCAGGGUGGGCAUUGCACUGCGCUCAGGUUGACCCUUGCCACUAUACCAAACUGGGGCAGAUGGGGCAUGCAAAUUGCUUAAAUCCGGUUCAACGGA
rnacentral:snRNA from 1 species